AUGCCACGUCACACCACCAAAAUCUGCAAUGUUACAUCACAACACCACACCAUGGCAUGUCACGUCACACAACCACACUCUGGCAUGUCACAUCACACCAGCAAACUCUGGCAUGUCACGUCACACCACCAUAUUCUGGCAUGUCAUGUCACACCACCGCAAUCUGACAUGUCAUGCCACUCCACCAAAAUCUGCAAUGUUACGUCACACAACCACACCCUGGCAUGUCACGUCACACCACCCCACUCUGGCAUGUCACGUUACACCAGCACACUCGGGUAUGUCAUGUCACACCACCACACUCUGGCAUGUCAUGUUACACCAGCACACUCUGACAUGUCAAGUCAUACCACCACACUCUGCCAUGUCACGUCACACCACCACACUCUGGCAUGUCACGUGAUACAAACACACCACACUCUUUCGUUUCACAUCACACCACCACACUCUGACAUGUCACGUCACACCACCAUACUAUGGCAUGUCCCGUUGGAGUCAUGUACUCAUGUCACGUCAGACCACCACACUGACAUUUCACGUCACACCACCACACUCUUACACGUCACCUCACACAACCACACUCUGACAUGUCACAUCACACCAGCACACUCUGGCAGGUCAUGUAACUCUGGCAUGUCUCGUCACACCACCACACUCUGGGUCACACCAGCACAUUCUGGCAUGUCACGUCACUCUGGCAGGUCACACAAGCACACUCUGGCAUGUCACUUCACGCCACCACACUCUGGGUCACACCACCAUACUCUGCCAUGUUGUAUCAAACCACCACACUCUUGCAUUUCACGUCACACCACCACACUCUGGCAUGUGACGUCACACCGCCACACUCUGGCAUAUCACGUCACACAACCAGACGCUAUCAUGUCACAUCACACCACCACACGCUGGCAUGUCACUUCACACCACCACACUCUGACAUGUUACCUCAAACAACCACACUCUCGCUUGUCACGUUGUGUUGUGACAUGCCACACUUCUAGAUUGUCGUGUCACACCACCGUACUCUGGCAUGUCACGUCACAACACCACACUCUGGGCACUCCACUACACUCUGGCAUGUCACGUUACACCAGCACACUCUGA
rnacentral:lncRNA from 1 species